AGCAACACUAUAACAUCAUAAUCUUAUUCAAUUUAACACGCAGAAGACAGUAGGCUUGCAGAUGUUUAUACUUAUGUCAAAAAGUAUUAUGAAAUGGGUGUGCAAUACAACAUGGAGGCAUUUAACAGCUGUAUUUCGCUUGCCUAAAUUAUGCGAUGUUAUUUGCUGGGCCUAUUAUAUCUUCGGAGCUGAGCUGUGCUGGCACGGCAGACAUGUCGCCGACUCGCUUGAACACCUCUGUUUCCAUCCACCGGCAUAUGGCAUGGGGAACGAUGAUCUGCAUAGGCACAUGCAUCAACUGGGUCAAGUGCAAGUACAUGUAUACUAUAUCUAAGGUCAGGCUAGGGAGCUAGAGAUGAUCAACAAAGGACUAACCAAAGGCAUGUAACCAAAGUGACUGACUAAAUUCACGGACUGACAUAAGUGAGAAAAAUAGGAGGGUAAAAGAUAAACGAUACUCACAACUACAGAUUUCAAGAAGUCAGGAGUUACACAAACUUCGGAUGUUGUGCAAUCCCAGAAGGUGCCGUCACAUAGUAACUCUAGAAAAAUAUAUUGUUCCUUCCUCAUGCAUGCAUGUGGUAAAUAUAUAUGAGCUUGUAAGAAGCUUCAGAAUUUUCAGAGCAUUGUGUUGGUAUGCCUCUGACCUCAUCUUUACAAUAGAACCUGUUCUAAAAAAAUAAUGCAAUCUUCAUGUACUUCCUAAUUGUGUAUGAAAUAUUAAACUUUGCUAAUUAAACACAAUACUCACUUGGUCAUGCAAAGCAGUUGAUUUUUAACCUUUUGGGUGAAAAAAAUCAAUUAAUGUGAUUGGGUAGAUAAACAUGUAGUAAUGAGUGUCAGGGUCUCACGUAUUAAUCAAGGUGUCCUGCUCAGGCACCUUGUCGAGCACCAGGAGCCUCUCGUCGCCACGCACCGGCAGCGUCGCUCCUCUCACAAUGUAGAAUAAGAGCAGAACUCACGUUACACCCAACUACAUGGUGAUGUAAAGAUGAUGCAAGUUUCAUGACUUGAUCCUGCGCCUAUUGGGAGGCCUUGAUCUGCUCCUCCCUGCCACUGUCACCGCUAGCCAGCGCUCCCCACGAAUGAGUUUCAGCUUGCACCGACACCGGCCGAAAGCAGAGGACCCAGGCCAGUCCCUAAAGUACCAGAGGCAGGGUGGUAAAAGAAGUUUAUUGGAACACAGAAC
rnacentral:lncRNA from 1 species